AGCCAUUUGACUUCUUGCAAUAAUUGAAAGGCGGGCUCAAAUAUGGAUGAGCGUGAUAUGAAGGAUGUGGCGCCUCCGCCACAAUGAGCGAUUGAAGAAGGUGCGAUUGAGGAAUAACAAUGCUGAGUUUUGGGCGGGAGUGUGGGCCACUAGAGCGUAGUGGAGACGGACUAGACACGGGUCCAAUGUAGAGGCAAUUGGCAGGCGUGAUGGGUCUAGAAUCUGCAAGAGAAGAUGGCGACGCAGAGAGCGUAAUCGAUGGCGACGAAGACAAACUGAGAAUUGGAUGAUUGUUCUGUAGGCAUGUCAUGGUGAUGUAGCGAAAGGGCUUGCAGGAGCACUUAAAACAGCUUUUGAGAACAGCAAGAGUAUAACGUAGAAGUUACCGACCUCAAGUCUCAUAUGAUCAUUGAUCGAUCGAAUCGAAUAGUAUUCCGAAUCGUUACUCGUCGUCUGGACUUUUAAGCAGUUCACGUGUCAGAAGAAGAACAAAAGGAACACGAACGGCAAUUGACGGUGGGAUGUCAGGUGUCCCACCAAGGGCUAGUUCGGCUCCCUGAUGAUAUACGACAUCAAUAUCUAACAUAGAGUGUACUGAUGUACGAUCCAUUCCAGUGUAUUGUUGGGAAUUUGAUACUACAUCCUAUAUCGGCUUUAUGAAUGUUUCUCUUACUCUUUUAUCUCGC
rnacentral:sRNA from 1 species